rnacentral:rRNA from 1 species
CCUACGGGAGGCAGCAGUGGGGAAUUUUGGACAAUGGGCGCAAGCCUGAUCCAGCAAUGCCGCGUGAGUGAAGAAGGCCUUCGGGUUGUAAAGCUCUUUUGUCAGGGAAGAAACGGUGGUGGUUAAUACCUGCUGCUAAUGACGGUACCUGAAGAAUAAGCACCGGCUAACUACGUGCCAGCAGCCGCGGUAA